CAAAGGCUCAUCAGAAGAGAUCAUACUGAAAAUCCAUUUUAGAACUUCAGUUUCGCUCUGGUUUUGUAGUUGAUUAGAAUUCAUAACCACCUUCCUGAAAAUCCUUAACCCUCUCCUACCUUCCCAAAGCGUGGGGUUUGUUUACUUAUCUAGACAGCCUUUAAGCUGAAUCUUCAGUACCAAGCUCUGUGAGACACUGAUUGAUGUUUAAAGAAGUACUGAAUAAUGCCUUUCUACCCCUGAACUUGUUUCCUGUUAAGCUCAGGAACUAAUGAUCAUGGUGGUGGUGAUAGUGAUGUGAUGAUGAUGGCAUACUUACUGAUCAGUCGCUAUGUUUGAGACACAAAGUACACAGUCUCUACCUCUACAAUCUCAUUUAAUCCUCCAUAUCAACCUUAGGAGAUAGCUACUAUUAUUAUCAUUUCCAUUUUACAGAUGGAAAAUGAAGCUCAGAGAGAUUGAGUGAUCUGCCUAUGAUUAUCCGACUAAGAAUUAGAAAAGCUGGGAUUUAUAUCCAAGCAGUAUGUAGAAUGCUAAACAUAGCCAUGGAGAAGCAGAUACCCAGU
rnacentral:lncRNA from 1 species